AUACAUGCAAGUCGAACGAAACUUUCUACACCGAAUGCUUGCAUUCACCGUAAGAAGUGAGUGGCGGACGGGUGAGUAACACGUGGGUAACCUGCCUAAAAGAAGGGGAUAACACUUGGAAACAGGUGCUAAUACCGUAUAUCUCUAAGGAUCGCAUGAUCCUUAGAUGAAAGAUGGUUCUGCUAUCGCUUUUAGAUGGACCCGCGGCGUAUUAACUAGUUGGUGGGGUAACGGCCUACCAAGGUGAUGAUACGUAGCCGAACUGAGAGGUUGAUCGGCCACAUUGGGACUGAGACACGGCCCAAACUCCUACGGGAGGCAGCAGUAGGGAAUCUUCCACAAUGGACGCAAGUCUGAUGGAGCAACGCCGCGUGAGUGAAGAAGGUCUUCGGAUCGUAAAACUCUGUUGUUAGAGAAGAACACGAGUGAGAGUAACUGUUCAUUCGAUGACGGUAUCUAACCAGCAAGUCACGGCUAACUACGUGCCAGCAGCCGCGGUAAUACGUAGGUGGCAAGCGUUGUCCGGAUUUAUUGGGCGUAAAGGGAACGCAGGCGGUCUUUUAAGUCUGAUGUGAAAGCCUUCGGCUUAACCGGAGUAGUGCAUUGGAAACUGGAAGACUUGAGUGCAGAAGAGGAGAGUGGAACUCCAUGUGUAGCGGUGAAAUGCGUAGAUAUAUGGAAGAACACCAGUGGCGAAAGCGGCUCUCUGGUCUGUAACUGACGCUGAGGUUCGAAAGCGUGGGUAGCAAACAGGAUUAGAUACCCUGGUAGUCCACGCCGUAAACGAUGAAUGCUAGGUGUUGGAGGGUUUCCGCCCUUCAGUGCCGCAGCUAACGCAAUAAGCAUUCCGCCUGGGGAGUACGACCGCAAGGUUGAAACUCAAAGGAAUUGACGGGGGCCCGCACAAGCGGUGGAGCAUGUGGUUUAAUUCGAAGCAACGCGAAGAACCUUACCAGGUCUUGACAUCCUUUGACCACCUAAGAGAUUAGGCUUUCCCUUCGGGGACAAAGUGACAGGUGGUGCAUGGCUGUCGU
rnacentral:rRNA from 2 species